rnacentral:tRNA from 1 species
ACACCAGGCUAAUAAUCUGAUGGUCGCAGGUUCGAGUCUGG